UACGUAGGGGGCGAGCGUUGUCCGGAGUUACUGGGCGUAAAGGGCGCGCAGGCGGCCAUUCAAGUCAUGGGUGAAAUACCGGGGCUUAACUCCGGGGGUGCCUGUGAAACUGGGUGGCUUGAGGGCCGGAGAGGACAGCGGAAUUCCCGGUGUAGCGGUGAUAUGCGUAGAGAUCGGGAGGAACACCAGUGGCGAAGGCGGCUGUCUGGACGGUACCUGACGCUCAGGCGCGAAAGCCCGGGGAGCAAACGGG
rnacentral:rRNA from 1 species